UAAAAUUUGAGAGCUGCCUCAAUUUCGCGUGGAUUCUUGUAGCCUGCUUCCUCUACCAGCCGGGGUAUGACCUUGUCGAUGACGAACUGUUUGGUCAUGUUGAAUGUGCGAUUGCGCGCCUGCACGCUGGGAGAAUUUCCGGUUCCUCCAUAAUCCAAUCGCGAUCCACAACCGGCGCCCACGGGAUACUGAAUAAUUGCUGUAAAUUGGAUAAUAUUCGGUCGAUUACUAGGAAACCAUAACGGAUGAGGGCGAAAUAGGACAGCCAACUGCUUCCGCCAAGACACUAAAGAAAACGCCACAAAGAAUGACAAAAGGAUAACUCAACAGCUACGAUGAUGGAGGUUAAAUACCGAAGCAAAUGUCAUUUGCGUUAUUUGACAUGCUUAACGGCAUGUCUGUAUAGAUGUACGAUAAUGCGAAAAUCUGGAAUCUACAGUUCCGCACUUCUGCGUCAUGACAUAUCUGUACGUACCGUGCGUUAGAACUCGGCAUCCGCUGGAUCGCCCUUUAAAGCAAUAAAAUAAUAAUGGUAC